rnacentral:rRNA from 1 species
GGAUAACUUCAGGAAACUGGGGCUAAUACCGGAUAGGAGCUCCUGCUGCAUGGUGGGGGUUGGAAAGCUUCUGCGGUUGGGGAUGGACUCGCGGCUUAUCAGCUUGUUGGUGGGGUAGUGGCUUACCAAGGCUUUGACGGGUAGCCGGCCUGAGAGGGUGACCGGCCACAUUGGGACUGAGAUACGGCCCAG